GGACUGGUUAGCUCAGUGGUUUGAGCGCGGGGCUGGCAAUAAGGAUCAACACUGAGGUCGCGGGUUCGAUUCCCGCUUGGUCCC
rfam:Apaloderma vittatum contig424, whole genome shotgun sequence.